AACGCGAAGAACCUUACCUGGGCUUGACAUCCUGUGAACAUCUAAGAGAUUAGGUUUCCGAGCAAUCGGACACAGAGACAGGUGCUGCAUGGCUGUCGUCAGCUCGUGCCGUGAGGUGUUGGGUUAAGUCCCGCAACGAGCGCAACCCUUGUCGUGUGUUGGUCCACAAGAUCUCUCACACGAGACCGCCGGUGACAAGCCGGAGGAAGGUGGGGAUGACGUCAAGUCAGCAUGGCCCUUACGUCCAGGGCUACACACGUGCUACAAUGCGCGCGACAGCGAGUCGCAAACCCGCGAGGGUAAGCUAAUCUCUUAAACGCGCGCUCAGUUCGGAUUGAAGGCUGCAACUCGCCUUCAUGAAGUCGGAAUCGCUAGUAACCGCAGAUCAGCUACGCUGCGGUGAAUACGUUCCCGGGCCUUGUA
rnacentral:rRNA from 2 species